UACGUAGGGGGCUAGCGUUGUCCGGAAUCAUUGGGCGUAAAGCGCACGUAGGCGGAUUGCUAAGUCAGGGGUGAAAUCCUGGAGCUCAACUCCAGAACUGCCUUUGAUACUGGCGAUCUUGAGUCCGGGAGAGGUGAGUGGAACUGCGAGUGUAGAGGUGAAAUUCGUAGAUAUUCGCAAGAACACCAGUGGCGAAGGCGGCUCACUGGCCCGGUACUGACGCUGAGGUGCGAAAGCGUGGGGAGCAAACAGG
rnacentral:rRNA from 1 species